UACGGGGGGGCAAGCGUUGUUCGGAAUUACUGGGCGUAAAGGGCUCGUAGGUGGCCAACUAAGUCAGACGUGAAAUCCCUCGGCUUAACCGGGGAACUGCGUCUGAUACUGGAUGGCUUGAGAUUGGGAGAGGGAUGCGGAAUUCCAGGUGUAGCGGUGAAAUGCGUAGAUAUCUGGAGGAACACCGGUGGCGAAGGCGGCAUCCUGGACCAACACUGACGCUGAGGAGCGAAAGCCAGGGGAGCAAACGGGG
rnacentral:rRNA from 1 species